UUGGUUCAAGAACUGUGGGGCCCGGAAGUUACUAACCAGCAGUUCUGAGGGUGUCUUCCCACCUUUUGUAGAAUAAAGUGAUUUCUGCAGCUUCUCCAGCUGGAAGAGAUAUUAUACCUGAGCGGCAGAGAUGCAGGCUGGCUGGUGGAAGAUGGUCCACAGGACACUCUGAUAGCAAGGCGGGGUUGUCAGUGAGCCAUUGUAGCGGUAGUAGUGACCCAGAUGCGCCGGGAGCAGCUCUCGCACACUGAAGGGUGCAACUGUGACUUCUUGCUCUGGUGAGUUUAGGAGUUGGGAAACCAAAAAGAGAAAGCCAGAAUGGCAGCCCAGUGGCAGAGGGAGACCGCGUCCAGGGUUGGCUUUGGGACCCCCUCCAUUGUGCCCCUUUGUCAACCCCGGCCUGUGGAAGGACAGUGCCUCAAGGCUUUAUCAGGCCAAAGGACUGUCCAGUCCGGUCCAGCCUCCCAGCUCCAAGAAGCGCCUCCCUCCAGAGCAGCUCCCCAGCUGAUGGGCUUUAAGGUGUUUGCUUCUGAGAUGCUGGACUAGCAGAAAAAUCUCACUACUGAGAAUCACUGCUUUGGGAAUUUAAAAUCUGUUUUCCAGCAUUUCUUCCAGAAAUUAAAGGUCCUGAAUGUU